rnacentral:rRNA from 1 species
AUUGAACGCUGGCGGCAUGCUUUACACAUGCAAGUCGAACGGCAGCGGGGAGGAGCUUGCUUCUCUGCCGGCGAGUGGCGAACGGGUGAGUAAUACAUCGGAACGUGUCGAGAAGAGGGGGAUAACCACCCGAAAGGGUGGCUAAUACCGCAUAAAUUCUGAGGAAGAAAGCUGGGGACCUAGGAAUAGGCCUAGCGCUUUUUGAGCGGCCGAUGUCGGAUUAGCUAGUUGGUGAGGUAAAGGCUCACCAAGGCGAAGAUCUGUAGCGGGUCUGAGAGGAUGAUCCGCCACACUGGGACUGAGACACGGCCCAGACUCCUACGGGAGGCAGCAGUGGGGAAUUUUGGACAAUGGGGGCAACCCUGAUCCAGCCAUGCCGCGUGUAUGAAGAAGGCCUUAGGGUUGUAAAGUACUUUUGUUAGGGAAGAAAAGUCAGCUGUGAAUAAUGGCUGAUACUGACGGUACCUAAGGAAUAAGCACCGGCUAACUACGUG